rnacentral:tRNA from 1 species
GAGGGUAUAGCUCAAGUGGUAGAGCACGUGCUUAGCAUGCAGGAGGUUCCAGGUUCAAUUCCCAGUACCUCCU